GGGGAGGGCAGGACGGUUGGCGGGAGGCCUGCCGUCGGCAGCCGGUCCGACUUUCCUUUCGAAGGCAGCCUCCCUCCCGCCAUCCCCAAAUCCUUUGGCUUCCACUUCGGUCAGACCCACGAAGCCAGCCGGCCUUCAGAUUAAAGAAGAGCCCAGUGUCACUUUCGGAGAAGACGCGGGGCAUUCUUUUACACAUCCACACGACACACCCAUCCACACGCCGCUCUCUGGGACUUGUGGGGUCACUUUGGGAGUUCAGUCUCGGGGAUGGGCCGGAUGCCUCAAGAGCGUGGAAGAGCUCGGCCGAGUCCGCUCUCGCCUUCCCCUGUAUUCCGGGCGCGCGAGAGAGCGAGCGAGCGAGCGCGCGCCCCUUUCAAACGGACAAGCUGAGGAGCUUCCCCCCCUCCUUCCCCCUUUCACGAGCGUUAUUUUAUGCUGGGGGAGGGGGGCUACUAAGCGGGGGGCCCCGUCACGUCGCAGGCAAAGCAACCCGCUGAGGGGCAGCCCCAGAGCCACCUCCCCUCGCCGCUCCAUCUUUCUUCUCUUUCCUCCUAAGCAUAACCGAGAUGCACCCUCACUCGCUCGCUCGCUCGCUCGCUCGCUCCCUCCCUCCCUCACACACGCCCGCCGGUCCACGCCGGGCUCUUGGCUCCCUCUGAAUGAACAGCUCUCGGUUCGCCAAAAGUCAGUCCCACAAGUGAGCGUGAGGGGAGGGGGCGGGGAGUCCGCGGGAGAGGCGGCGGCGACGAGGGACGAGGGCCGAGGGCGAGGACAGCGCUGGAGCCGAGGAGGAAGGCGCCGGCCGAGCCAGCCCGUUCGGGAGAGCAGCCACCGCUGAGGGCCUCAGCUGAGAAUCAGACAUCUGGAGAUAAUGAUACGGCAUGACAAUCACACAAAAAAGACCGGGGGCAGCAGCAGCAGCAAGCCAGCCAACGAGACCUGCAGCUCCUCGUGCCCAGCUCUGGGGACCUUGAGAAACCGUGGAUCUGCCAGGUUGUUUCCUUCCCCUGCCACGCCACCCCCAAACCCGCAAGAUAUUUGCUGCCACCAUUUGGUUAAAAUAAGAAUUCUUAAAACGCUCUGUGAUGCAUAAUCCAAAAAAGGAUCAGGAAGGAGAGCUGGAUCUUCGCAUCACCACCACACCAACACCAUCGUCUUGUCAAUUCUGCCGAAAUGGGAUUCUCCCCUCUCUUCUUCCGUACUCUGCGCUGGAAAUUGCCGAUGGCUUUACACCUUUACAGAGGCUAAAGGCUUUUUGCCUGAGAAUGAACCAUUUACAAUGCAAAUAGAGGCCUGUGGAGGGAUGGAUGUUUCACACUCUGAACAGCUUGAUGCACCUUAAUAGCUGGGUUUAUUUUUUGAUAUUAACAGAUGAAUAGUUGUUCCAUCGCUGCCGGAAAUUGCUGGCUUGAAAGGAGUUGAGAGUGGGGAGGGGAAGAGAAAGGGAGAGAAAGAGAAGAGAAAAGUUCGGAAUAAAACUUUGAAGGCAACAAACUUUGGAAUGUGUUUCGGAAGCACACACUACUACUCUACAUACUGAAUCAACUCACUGUUACAGUACUUUAAAAGGAUGAAUAUUUUAAAGCAUGCCUGGUGUUCUUGGGAAAGUCUGUCAGCAGAAACAAUCUGGAUUGUAGCAAAGAGGGAGCAGAAAUUCUUCUCCCCCAACCCAAGUGAUCAUAAGACGGAAGUGAGUUGUUAUCUUUGGUUAUCUAGCUGUAUGAGUGUGUUGGUCUUCAUAAAGCUAGAUAACCGAAAGUAAAAACUCCUUCAUGAUCUUCGCGCUGCACAAAGAAGUGAGAGGCUCCAGCAAGGGGACACUAAAAACCCAGGCAUGGCAGGAAUGCUUAUUAAUUGAAUGGCUCAUUUCUGCAGCUCAAGGAGGAAAAAGAGGAGGAAAUGUAAAGACAUAUGUGUGUCAAGUACAUAUGUAUACAUAUAUAAACAUGUACAACAUGCCAGGCACAGGAUGAUGAAGAAUAAACCAUACGCUGCAAAGAGGAUAUGGUAUUUAUGGUAAACAAAUGCAUGUGCAAGUUUUUUUUGCUGUUCUCUGGGAAGGUGGGAUGUAAUUGUUGUUCUGUGCACAAUCCUGUGCAUGCCUUUUGAGAAGUAAGCUCAACUGAGUUCAGUGAAGCUUGCUUCUAAGUUAAUGCAAAUAGGAUUGCAGUUUUUGAUGAACAUUUUAGAUAUAACAAGUUUGUGUUUGAAAACAGAACCGUGGCAUUGUGUGAAUUUGAUUUUAACUUAAAAAUUAAGGAGUGUGUGUCUUUCAGACAACAGAAUGUGAUUAACUUUGUCUUGUGAGGUCUUUUUAAAGUUAUGAAGUGUUAGGAGUAAUGUUGUGUCAAGGGACGCAAGUUGAAGUGAGCGUGUAUACAAGCGCCUACUGCGCAAAAUUAAAUGUCUUUAAAAGGAUAAAAAUGUGGAUUGAACAGGAAGAAGAGGUUAAUAAUGUCUGUCUGCUAAGGAUCUGGUAUGCUUCCACAACAUGGAGCGGGGUGGGGGUGGGGAGACGUGACAUUUGAUAUAAAAAAGGAGGGGGGAGGAAACAGUCUUCUAUUCAAAAUGCAAGCAUAGAUGCUUCUCUGUUCCAAGAGGGUUUCCUUGAGGAAGCUACUGAAGCAGAAAUACGUGAUGGAGAUGAGAUUGCCUCCCUCCGCCUUGUCAAAAUGUUAGAAAGUAGUGUGUGUCUUAUUCGGCAGCUAGCAUUGGAAAUGAAAGUGACAUUUACUCCAAAACCCACGUGUGCGCCUCCUCUCUUCUUGUUUAAGGAUGAUCAGAUCUAUCUAGGAAACUGUUCUGGCAUCCCAAACAGAAAUAAUUAGGACGUAUAUAGACCUGACCAAAAAGGGGGGGUGGAAGGGGGGAAUCGGAGGGUUUGGUCCUGCCUAAUUGAUUCCGUUAAACGGAAUGUCUGAGAUGUGAACGGCUGGACGCUCCCAUUCCCACGCUCGGGGGCAAGUGGCAAUGCUAUGGCCCGGCAGCCUAUGACAGACAGCCCUGUUGGGGGUUGCCGUAUGAAAAAAACAUCAAGUGCACCAUACCAGACUCAUCUCCAUCCCUUAAGAAAGUAGAGGCAUUUCCCACCCACAGCCAUCUGCAGGCUCCCAAGUGGGAACCCCAACUGUUCUGUGGCUGCAGACUGUCUCUUUCUGUUAAUUCUGUAACUACUGUUUCAGCUACUCAUAAUUAAAUAUAGCUUUGGUUCUGGGGUAGAAAUUUUCUGGGGCUCAGCUUACAAAAGAAAAAGGCAAAACAGAGCCGGUAGAAAGGAAAGUGGUUAUAUAUCUCCAGGACAAAUUGACAAGGACUCAGUUUUUGGCCUUGCAAAUGUCACAUCACACAGGCUCACAGAGUCAUUACAGUUACAUAGUUUGCUGUAGUGCUGGGGAGACAGAAGUAAAAUUUAAAUCCAUUUAUUUUGGUGAGUUGCCCCAGGUAUGCUGCCCCUAUGACAAAGCAGACUCAUCACACUUGAUAAAAGUGACAGCCAACUCAUAUUUACAAUCCCAUCAUGUAUAUUACUCAGAAGGAAAAGCAACAGAAAUUAAUGGGGUUCUUUCCUAAGUAAAUGCACACAAUAUUUGAAUUUUGAUGUUUUGGCUUGGUUUAGGGUUCCCUUCUGAAUUAGAAGCUAAAAUGAAAUGGUACAAAAAGUGUAUGUUUUAAUGUGUGCUUGUAUAUUUGUGUGUGUGCAUGUGCACAAAAUAACUAAUUUAUCAAUAUUGACAUACAGGUUGCCUUAUUUUUGUCUUGAUAAUUCCAUAAAAUUAAGGUUAUGGCUUAAAACUAAAGUCAUGAAUGAUUUGUUAGGAGUUAGUUUUGAGGAGUUUUAAUAGUAGCUUUGCACUUAAUUUUGGAUGAAACUAGGGAGAGAGACUGUUUACAAAGGGCUCAUUUUGGCUGUUCUGCACGUGCCACAGUUUACUACUGUAGUGACCAAUGAACAAUCUUGUUUAUUUACUUUAGAAGUUCUGUUUGUGCCAAUAGCUUUCCAUUGUUAAGCACUUUUCUGCUUUUUCUUUACUGCAUGUCCAGGGGUACUGUUUACCUAGGGCCAUUGUCUACUACUAUUAACAUUUACAUUACAAAGUGCAUGGUUUUCUUUCUCAAAGUGGUUCAAUUAAGGCAAUAAGAUGUUUUCUGGGGAAUCUUUUGUUUAGUGAAAAACAUUCCUUGAAGUGAAAUUACUUUUCCUUUACAGAAUAAGCUCUCACAUUUUGGCCUUUUCUGUAAAUUUUUUAAGGAAAGCACUGAAGGAUUUUUUUUGUUUUGUUUUAUGA